AUUGAACGCUGGCGGCAGGCCUAACACAUGCAAGUCGAGCGGAUGACAGGAGCUUGCUCCUGGAUUCAGCGGCGGACGGGUGAGUAAUGCCCAGGAAUCUGCCUGGUAGUGGGGGACAACGUUUCGAAAGGAACGCUAAUACCGCAUACGUCCUACGGGAGAAAGCAGGGGACCUUCGGGCCUUGCGCUAUCAGAUGAGCCUAGGUCGGAUUAGCUAGUUGGUGAGGUAAUGGCUCACCAAGGCGACGAUCCGUAACUGGUCUGAGAGGAUGAUCAGUCACACUGGAACUGAGACACGGUCCAGACUCCUACGGGAGGCAGCAGUGGGGAAUAUUGGACAAUGGGCGAAAGCCUGAUCCAGCCAUGCCGCGUGUGUGAAGAAGGUCUUCGGAUUGUAAAGCACUUUAAGUUGGGAGGAAGGGUUGUAGAUUAAUACUCUGCAAUUUUGACGUUACCGACAGAAUAAGCACCGGCUAACUCUGUGCCAGCCGCCGCUGUAAUAC
rnacentral:rRNA from 1 species